UACGAAGGGGGCUAGCGUUGUUCGGAAUCACUGGGCGUAAAGGCGCGUAGGCGGCUAUGUAAGUCGGGGGUGAAAGCCUGUGGCUCAACCACAGAAUUGCCUUCGAUACUGCAUGGCUUGAGACCGGAAGAGGUCAGCGGAACUGCGAGUGUAGAGGUGAAAUUCGUAGAUAUUCGCAAGAACACCAGUGGCGAAGGCGGCUCACUGGCCCGGUACUGACGCUGAGGUGCGAAAGCGUGGGAGCAACAGG
rnacentral:rRNA from 1 species